UUCUCUGAUAACACAUAACAAAGUUGAUGUUAAAUAGCGAGUUUAUUGAAAUGGUUUUGUCUAUUUCAGCAGCGUUAUAAAUAUCAUGAUUUCGCUGGUGUCUUCAAUAAAGCUAAAACAAGAAUACAUUUACGUCCUUAGUUCUUUCAUUAUUAAUUGGAAAACUUUGUGUUGAGAUUUGCUGUUAAACUAAAAAAAAAAUUAUGUGCACAAAAUCCGAUAGGUAUUCUUCUAUUGGAGAUGAAGACUUGGAUGCAAAAGUGCUGGACAUUCAGCGUCAUCACCCAAAUGCCGGCUGCAGAAUGAUGAUGGGACAUCUACGAUCCAGAGGCAUAUACAUUCAAAGAUUUCGACUGAUGGAUUCAAUGAGACAAGUCAAUCCAGAAGGGGUCAUGAUGCGACGGUUAUCUAUUCAGACUGCAAGGCGUCGUCAGUACAGUGUACCAGCACCAAAUCACCUUUGGCAUAUCGAUGGAAAUCAUAAACUAAUUCGCAUUGAGCGCCUGUGGAGGGAUGUAUAUGAAAACAUCCUUGACCUUUUGUACACAAUCUUCACCCAGCUGGAGAUUCAAGGAUUGCUCAACCCUGGUGAAGAAAUUGACUUGUUUGCACUGCACAGAUGCUUUUUGCAUCACAUUCAACAUCAUCUUCAGUCAUUCUAGGAAGCAUGGAAUCAGCACGGACUCAGAACAGCAAACAACCAUUCACCCCUGCAACUCUGGUUGCUGCACAGAAAAGAGGGACAAGAUUUGUCACAGGUUGAUGAGGAUUAUGGUGUGGACUGGACAGAACCACAUAAUCAUCGCCCAUCAAAUGAGAUCACCAUUCCUGAGAUUCAGCUCCCACGUGCACUGAAUG